UCAACAAAAUCACUGAUGCUGGAGU
rnacentral:ncRNA from 7 species